AGCUUUGCGCAGUGGCGGUAUCGUAGCCAAUAAGGUUUAUCCGAGGCACAAGUAUUGCUAAUUAAAAUAUGUCUAAAUAUUAGAUAAAUUCUAGAGUCAAUAACAUGAAAGUUACUGGAUAAAAUUAUUUUGGAUACAUUUCAUAGAG